UGGCUAGACUACAGGAGCUGGGCUUCAGCAUGGAUGACUGUCGCAAGGCUCUUCUGGUGUGUCAAGGUAAAUUGGAUAUGGCUUCCAUUUUCUGCUGUUUGUCUUAGCCAUGUGCUUCCUUCUCAUUUCCUCCUUAGUUACAUCAGAGAGAGUAAAAGAGAGAAUGUGAGUAUUCAAGGAGCCCUAUGUGUCCUGAAGGAGAGGGUGGGGCUGAGCAUCAUUCUGGCCAUAGUUGUGAUUCAACAGAAGGGUUUUCUGCAAUCAGGAGGUUGGUUAUCACUGGAGCUGGCUUUGUGGGUCACAUUCUCCUCUGCCUCACAUCAGCUGUUCUUAAAGGACCCUGGGCAAGUCACUGAGCCUCUCAGUGCUAAUGCUUUCUUACUUGUGAAGCUCCAGUAGGAGCACUGGCUGUGGGUAAGUGCCUGGUACUUUGAAGUAGCUGUUCAUCAGUGGUGCUGGAAUGAUACUGGCUCUGAGGCUCUGAUAGUCAUGACCAUGAUCAUGUGCUGAGCUCUUAUUGCUCUGUCUCUGGUCUUUUAAGCAAACGCCUAUUACAUUUAUUUACUUGUGCAGAUGUAUGCUUAUGGUACACUUGGUGGUUAGAGGUCAACUUGGAGUUAGUUGUCUCCUAUAGUGUGGGUCCUGGGGAUUGAACUCAAAUUGUCAGUUUUAGCAGUAGGUGCCUUUACCCACUGAGCCAUCUGACUAAGCCCAUCUUUGUUUUAUUUAGCAUCAGACAGUUGUGUAGCCCAGGUCAGCCUUGAACCCAUUAUGUAUUCCAGGAUGAUCUUAAAACUCAUGUUCCUCCAAUCUCUAGCACGCUAGCACUAGGAUUACAGGUCUGAGCUACCUUGUCCCGUUUUAUCCGGUGCUGGUGAUGGAACCCAGUAGGCAAGCACUUUGAGCUCCAUCCCUGUUCCCAGCCUGGCUCUGGGUUUCUUGUGGAGUUUCCUAGCUCUUAGAAAUAGCCAUUAUUGUCUGUACUUCAGAUGAGGAAACUGGCUCAGACAGGUUAAGAAAGUUUGUCUUAGUUUAUCUAUUUCUGUUGGCCUAAGGUUCAUUAAAGAGAGGUCUGUCUGAUGUGAAGGCUGUGUCCUUUCUACUGUGGCCCACUGCACUCUGUAUCCUUCUACCAUGGCACAGCAUACCCACCUCUUGUUUAUUUUAAGAAAAAGAAAUUCUGCUGAGUUGUGGUUCCUUCCAACCUUUCCACAUAGGUGUGUUCUCUACUUUUCUAGGUGCUAUAUGUGUAUGGGUGUGUAAACACACAGAGUUUAGCUGGAGAUUAAGCCUAGGGCCUAGUACAUACUAGGCAAGUGAUCUCCCAUGGAACUAUGCCCCUGGCCUGCAUUGCAUUUUGUUUAUUGAUAGAUUGCAUGGCAGUCUCCUCCUUUUUUUUUUCUUUGAGACAGCAUUGUGUAGCCCUGGCUGUCCUGGAACUCUUGGUCUCAAACUCAGAAAUCCUCCUGCCUCUGUCUCCCAAGUGCUGAGAUUAAAGGUGUGUGCCACCACUGCUCAGCUGACAGUCUCCUUAACUUCUCACUCCAUGGUUUCCAUCAUUUGAGCUCAGCUCUGGUCUGAAGAAAAUUUAGUUGACAAACCUACAAAUAAUUUAUGAGUUUUAACCCUCAUGCCAUUCUGAGUAGUACGGUGGAGCGGUUCUCUAUCCCGCCGGGGACAAGAGUCAUCCUUUGGCUAACAUUCAUAGUCUAUGUGCUACUUCCUCAGUACACAAUGUGGCAGAGCUUGUGUUUGUGUAACCCUUUUAUUACUUAAAAAGGGGCCCAAAGCAGAGAGCAGUGCCCUGGGACUCAAAGGGCCCAAGAGAAGCUGCAGAGUGCCUUUAAAGGCAAGGUAAACAUUUUAGCCAGGAAAGAAAUGUCCAGAAAAGUCCCAUGCUAAGGCUGCUAAGAUCUAUAGUCAGAACAAUCCUUCUAUCUAUAAAUUUUGAAGGAAAAUUUAUGUUAUUUUUGCCAAAUGCUUCAGUCACAGUAUGUACCAGCAACUAGGAUAGGUGCUGAGUUUCAGGGCUUGCGGCUUUAUGCUUGCAGGGUCCCUGUGGCCUUGGAAUCUCCUGUAUAAGGGGGCGGGGCUGUGAUAUUACAAAUGGGAUUUGUGAUUUUGAGUAUCUAUAUGGAAUCUAGCAUCCACAAAUGAGAGAAGUCAUGUGACACUUGUCUUUCUGAGUCCAAGUUAUUUCACUUCAAGUUAUUUGUCUCUGUCUCUCUUUCGGUGUGUGUGCGUGUGUACACGGUCUCCAUUUGUGUCCACUUUCCCUAAAAUAUAUAAUAUCAUUCUUCUUUGUGACUGAAUUACUGCACUGUGCACAUGAACCAUACAUUCUGAACCAUACAGUCAUGCUGAUGGGCACCUAGGCUGACUCAGUACUUUGGUGCGCUCCCUCUGUCUCUCUCUCUCUCUCUCUCUCUCUCUCUCUCUCUCUCUGUCUGUCUCUGUCUGUGUGUGUGUCUGUGUGUGUCUGAGUGUGUGUAUGUGUACAUGAGGCUAUGCACUUAUCUGUAGCAUCUUUAUAGCUCUUUCCUGUAGAGAACACAUUCUUUUCUAGAAUGCUAUGCCCAGGCUACACACCAGCAUAUUGUGUGUAGAGAUGCUCAUUGUGUUCCCUGAAGCCCCUUUACCUCUGAAAAGUGAGGGUGGGCUAGCUCUCUGGGUCCCUCACCUCUGUUUACAUUCAGUCAUUGUUGCUUUUCGAUUUAACUUUAUACUUUAUCAUGCCUAUGAUUUUUAUUCUCUCUUUAACUAUUCAAACACAUUUUCUCCCACGGUCUGCAAACCUUUUGGAUUUCAUUGUGAUUGAACUAAAGCCACUUAGUCCCAUUACUCAACAAGAUGAAAAUAACAGCUGUUUAAAGCCAGGAUCGCUUACCAGGCUCUGCUCUGAGAGCUCACUUCCUCUUUCUGUUGUGCUGCAGGGCACAGAGAUCAAACAGCUUGCCCUUUAUUCAGAAGCUGGGAAGUACAGGACUGGUCUAGACCAGGGUCAGCUUGCUUCAGAGCCCAGACCCUCAAGCAGGCGAAUUGUCUCACGUUCUGAGUUCUGAGUGUGGAAUGACAUUGCUUCUUUCCUCCUUCCCUUCUUCUAUUCCACCUUUAUCUCUGUCCCUUCCUUCUUUUUUUCUUUUCUUGAGGGCAAGAGGGUGUUAGAGGGUGUUAGGAUAUUUGUUGUUAUUUAGGCAGGGGGCAUUAACAGUAGUUAUCUUUCUCUCAUAUACAAAUACACGAGUGAAUGAGUGAGUGUGUGUGUGUGUGUGUGUGUGUGUGUGUGUGUGUGUGUGCGCGUGCGCGCGCGCGCGUGCGUGUGCGCUCAAGCAUGCAUCUCAUUUUGUUCUCUGCUCUCUGAGAGUUUGUAUUGAGAAGAUGGCUUAUGCACAAAGUAAGACAUAUGAGGACAGUUACAUCAGUAUGAACAGAACUUGGGUGGAAAUAAAACUUGCAUACCAAGGGGCCUUGAGACUCUGGGCUCCUCAACUGCCCCCUCUUCUCCUUUCUGUUCACAGUUGGUACAGGAGGGGCCUUAGCAGUCAGAGCAGGAAAGGUGUUAUCAACUUGCAUAGAAGAUGUGCAAUUUCCAGGAGCUUACCCUAUGUGUGCCCCAGCACCUUCCCCCAGCCUAAGGAUCCUUCUGGAUUACAGCUUUCCUGGGCUGCUCACAGAUUCUUUGUAAUGCUUUGGGAAGUAGUGGCACCUCACACCUUCUGGUUUUCUUGAAGGCCAGCUGAAGAAGGCAGCAAGUUGGCUGUUUAAGAAUGCAGAGCCCCUGAAGUCGCUGUCCCUGGUCUCCAGCAGCAGUAGAGACAACCCGGGGACCAUGCCAGCUCCACGGAUCUCUGGAGUGGAGGUCAAGGCUGAGAGCGUGUGCAUCUGUUUCAUCGAUGACUGCAUGGACUGUGAUGUGCCCCUGGCAGAGCUUACCUUCUCCCGUGAGUGUACCUGGCUUGUGGGCUUGUCCUGCAGCCCAGUGCUGGUCUUUUCUUAGGGCCUGCCUUUUUAGCUUUCCAUGUAUCUUUGUUCUCCUUUACUUCACAGUUCAGGUAAAACUUAAUAGUUUAACAUGUUUUU
rnacentral:lncRNA from 1 species